GACGACCGUGCAAACGUUGUUCGGAAUCACUGGGCUUAAAGGGCGCGUAGGCGGGCUCGCCAGUCUGUGGUGAAAGCCUCCGGCUUAACCGGGGAAGUGCCGUGGAUACUGCGAGCCUCGAGGAGGGUAGGGGCAUCUGGAACAGCCGGUGGAGCGGUGAAAUGCGUUGAUAUCGGCUGGAACUCCGGUGGCGAAGGCGAGGUGCUGGACCCUUUCUGACGCUGAGGCGCGAAAGCCAGGGGAGCAAACGGG
rnacentral:rRNA from 1 species